rnacentral:lncRNA from 1 species
AUGUACCACAAGGCUGUCUGAUGGCCUUGGCUGUAGCCUGGGCUGGGUCUGUGGCCACACUGUCUGGACCUGGCUGUGCCUGGCACAGGGCAGCAAUCCCACAAUCUGCUCCCACAGCGGCCACCCUGGCUGCCCCCUAACUAUGAGAAUCUUGCAACCUACGCUCAAUACAAACGUUAAGUCAGCUAAACAUGGUGGAUUGAGUAUGAAUAGUGAUAUUUCAUGAUUUCUUCAGAGAUUGAUCUGUGUUUCUCUCUGGUGACUAUCCUAGGCAUUUUGGGGCCCAUCCAGGUCUCACUGAAUGGCAGCACAGCCUUCUGGCGUGUCAGCCACUCCUCCCAGCUUUGUGUCAUCGGCGUACUUGCUGAGGGCAGACACUAUUCCCUCAUCAAGGUCGUCAAUGAAGAUGUUGAACAAGACCAGACCCAGCACCGACCCCUGGGGAACACCGCUAGUCACAGGUCUCCAGCCGGACUCUGCACCGCUGAUCACCACCCUCUGAGCUUGGCCAGUCAGCCAGUUCUCAACCCACCUUACUGUCCACUCCUCUAUCCCAAACUUUCUCAGCCUUGCCAAGAGGAUGUUGUGGGAGACAGUAUCAAAAGCCUUGCUAAAGUCAAGGUAGAUGACAUCCACUGCUCUCCCCCAUCUACCCAGCUGGUGAUGCCAUCAUAGAAGGCAACAAGGUUGGCCGAGCAUGACUUCCCCUUGGUGAAUCCAUGCUGACUACUCCUCAUAACCUUCUCUUCCAAUUGCUUGGAGAUGGCAUCCAGAACAAACUGUUCCAACACCUUUCCAGGGACAGAGGUGAGACUGACUGGCCUGUAGUUUCCUGGAUCCUCCUUCUUGCCCUUCUUGAAAACCGGAGUGACACUGGCUAUCCUCCAGUCUUUAGGCACUUCUCCUGUUCUCCAGGACCUUUCAAAGAUUUCAAAGAUGAUAGAGAGCGGUUUGGCAAUCACCUCUGCCAACUCCCUUAGCACAUGUGAAUGUGUCCCAUCAGGACCCAUGAAUUUGUGUGUGUUGAGCCCACUCAGAUGCUCCCGAACCGCUCUCUCAUCAAGCAGGGAAUAACCCUCCAUUUCUCAGAACCUUUCUCCUCCUUCCAGGAUUGAGGAGUCCCGGGGGAACUUGAAGCAAAGACUGAAGCAAAGAGAGCAUUCACUAUCUCCGCCUUCUCAGUUUCCUGUUACCAGGACACCCCCCUCAUUCAGUAAGGGACCGACAUUAUCCCUAGUCUUCCUGCAAUAUGGUGACUCAACUCACAUGCUUAAAGCACCUGUUCAGAAACAUGCUAGAUUAUCCAAAAUUAAACAAAAAUUAUUAAGCUGGAGUAAGAAGGCAGACUGAUGAUUCCAUUUAGCCCCCUAAAAUAAUUUUAUCGGUAGGUAUCAAUAUCCCUAAUUCACAUGGAUUCUGAACACUUCCUUCCUCCUCUCUGUAGUGUAAUAUUUUUCAAACUUUGUAUGAAAGAACUUCAGUGUGAAAGGACCCUGGGAAAUUGAGUAACUCACACUAGACUGGAAAAGUAAAAAUAGAAGAAAAGUCACAGCUUGAAGAUGGAUUUACAGUGGGCCAUCUCCUUGAAAUUUUCCCAAGGAAGGCACAGAUUUUGUCUCUCAGGUGUCUUAAAUAAAUAUGUAAAUAGCAUUCUUUAAAUAAAGCAGCUGAUUAUGAGCCACUAAAAACAUCAUUAAAAACAAACUCAAUGCCAAAACUUGCUUUUGUCUGC